rnacentral:rRNA from 1 species
AGCAGUCGCCGCGGUAAUACGUAGGGUGCAAGCGUUAAUCGGAAUUAUUGGGCGUAAAGUGAGUGCAGACGGUUACUUAAGCCAGAUGUGAAAUCCCCAAGCUUAACUUGGGACGUGCAUUUGAAACUGGGUGACUAGAGUGUGUCAGAGGGAGGUAGAAUUCCACAUGUAGCGGUGGAAUGCGUAGAGAUGUGGAGGAAUACCGAUGGCGAAGGCAGCCUCCUGGGAUAACACUGACGUUGAGGCUCGAAAGCGUGGGGAGCAAACAGGAUUAGAUACCGUGUAGUCCCUGUCUCUUAUACA